rnacentral:rRNA from 1 species
GACGAACGCUGGCGGCGUGCUUAACACAUGCAAGUCGAACGGAGAGUUCAUUUCCCGAAGUUUUCGGAUGGAGGGAGCGGAUUUUUAGUGGCGGACGGGUGAGUAACGCGUGAGCAACCUGUCCUGCAGAGGGGGACAACAACGGGAAACCGUUGCUAAUACCGCAUAAGACCACGGUCUCGCAUGGGGCUGAGGUAAAAGGAGAAAUCCGCUGCAGGAGGGGCUCGCGUCCCAUUAGAUAGUUGGUGAGGUAACGGCUCACCAAGUCAGCGAUGGGUAGCCGGACUGAGAGGUUGAACGGCCACACUGGGACUGAGACACGGCCCAGACUCCUACGGGAGGCAGCAGUGGGGAAUAUUGGGCAAUGGGCGCAAGCCUGACCCAGCAACGCCGCGUGAAGGAAGAAGGUCUUCGGAUUGUAAACUUCUGUCAUUGGGGACGAAGGAAGUGACGGUACCCAAUGAGGAAGCCCCGGCUAACUACGUG